GCGCAUCUGUGCAUGCAGCAUAUCAAUAAGCGGAGGAAAAGAAACUAACAAGGAUUCCCCUAGUAACGGCGAGUGAAGCGGGAAGAGCUCAAAUUUGAAAUCUUAAAGGGUUUCCCUUUACGAAUUGUAGUUUAAAGAAGUGUUUUCUGUUGAGGUUUUGGUAAAAGUUCUUUGGAAUAGGACAUCAUAGAGGGUGAGAAUCCCGUAUUUGACCUUUACUUUCAACUUUGUGAUACACUUUCAAAGAGUCGGAUUGUUUGGGAAUGCAGUCCAAAAUGGGUGGUAAAUUUCAUCUAAAGCUAAAUAUUGGCGAGAGACCGAUAGCGAACAAGUACCGUGAGGGAAAGAUGAAAAGAACUUUGAAAAGAGAGUUAAACAGUACGUGAAAUUGUCAAAAGGGAAGCGUUUGACACCAGUGUUGUUUUUCUGAAAAUCAAUUAAAGAACUGUUUAUGCUAAGCUGUUUAGACUUUAUCAGCUAUCUGUUUAGUUUUGAGCUUUUCUUUAAUGCACUUUUCAGUUAACAAGUCAACAUCAAUUUCUUUUGCUGUAAAAAAGCUUGAGGAAGGUGGCUUGAGAUUCGUCUUAAGUGUUUAUAGCCUCUUGCCUAUGCAGUCGGAGAGAUUGAGGUCUACAGCGUAGAUCCUUCGGGGCUAAAUGCAUUUGUGCUAAGUUAUAGCAUUUCAUAGACAACUUGUUGACUAUGAUUUGUCUUGUAGCUUACUCGCUUAUGUUAUUUUACCUACGCUUAGGAUGUUGACAGCAGUAUAGACUGU
rnacentral:rRNA from 1 species